GAUGAACGCUAGCGGCAGGCUUAAUACAUGCAAGUCGAGGGGCAGCGCAGUGUAGCAAUACAUGGGCGGCGACCGGCAAACGGGUGCGGAACACGUACAGAACCUUCCUUUAAGUGGUGAAUAGCCCAGAGAAAUUUGGAUUAAUACACCGUAACAUAUAGAUGUGGCAUCAUAUUUAUAUUAUAGCUCCGGCGCUUAAAGAUGGCUGUGCGGCUGAUUAGGUAGUUGGCGGGGUAACGGCCCACCAAGCCGGCGAUCAGUAACUGGUGUGAGACCACGACCAGUCACACGGGCACUGAGACACGGGCCCGACUCCUACGGGAGGCAGCAGUAAGGAAUAUUGGUCAAUGGACGCAAGUCUGAACCAGCCAUGCCGCGUGGAGGAUGAAGGUCCUCUGGAUUGUAAACUUCUUUUCUCUGGGGCGAAAAACAGGUUUUCUAACUUGCUUGACAGUACCAGAGGAAUAAGCCCGGCUAACUCCGUGCCAGCCGCCGCCGUAAUAC
rnacentral:rRNA from 1 species